UACGUAGGGUGCGAGCGUUAAUCGGAAUUACUGGGCGUAAAGCGUGCGCAGGCGGUUCGUUGUGUCGGCGGUGAAAUCCCCGGGCUCAACCUGGGAAUGGCAUUUGGGACUGCAAGGCUGGAGUGUGGCAGAGGAGACUGGAAUUCCUGGUGUAGCAGUGAAAUGCGUAGAUAUCAGGAGGAACACCGGUGGCGAAGGCGGCGAUCUGGGUAGAUACUGACGCUGAGGUGCGAAAGCGUGGGGAGCAAACAGG
rnacentral:rRNA from 1 species